rnacentral:rRNA from 1 species
CCCUGCAUUUUUCACAGAAUUUCACCCAAUCUCAUCUGAUCUUGGAAGCUAAGCAGGGUCAGGCUCAGUUAGUACUUGGAUGGGAGACUGCCUGGGAAUCCCGGGUGCUGUAGGCU